rnacentral:tRNA from 1 species
GACUGGGUAGCUCAGUUGGUUAGAGCAUUGUCCUGAUACAUCAAGGUUGUGAGUUCAAUCCCCAGUCA